UACGGGGGGUGCGAGCGUUGUCCGGAAUCACUGGGCGUAAAGGGCGCGUAGGUGGCUUGGUAAGCGUGUGGUGAAAGCCCGGGGCUCAACCCCGGGUCUGCCAUGCGAACUGCUAUGGCUUGAGCACUGUAGAGGCAGGCGGAAUUCCGGGUGUAGCGGUGGAAUGCGUAGAGAUCCGGAAGAACACCGGUGGCGAAGGCGGCCUGCUGGGCAGUAGCUGACACUGAGGCGCGACAGCGUGGGGAGCAAACAGG
rnacentral:rRNA from 1 species